rnacentral:tRNA from 1 species
GCCGUUGUAGCUCAGUUGGUAGAGCACGUCAUUGGUAAUGACGAGGUCAAGAGUUCAAUCCUCUUCAACGGCU